rnacentral:lncRNA from 1 species
GGCUCGUGUGAUACUCCGCACUGGUCACAUCCCGAGCCAGCAUGCGCAAUCAUCUAGGACUUGUCGAAUCUCGAUGUAAGAGCCGAGAGUUGUGCAGUAAUGGCCGUGUAGUCGUCUACAGCAUGAACUCCUGAGCGAGAUGAUGAUGAUCGACCUCUAUCUCCAUCCCGACGCGAGCUGGAUUUCAACGCAGCUUUUUCUAUAAUAUCAUACGCUUCAGUCGGCGUCUUAGUUCCAAGAUCGCCUCCCGCGUUCACGUCUAAUCGCUCUUGCGUAUUAUAGCUGAGCCCCUGAUAGAACGUCAAAACCAGCUGUCGCUUGGAGAAGCCAUGAUGUGGCACAUCAAUCAACAAAUCUUUGAAUCUCUCCCAAGCUGCAUGCAACGACUCGCCCUCGUCCUGGCGAAAGGAAACAAUCCGGUUCCUUAGUUU